ACUCCCAGUCAUGUGGUUGCUGC
rnacentral:siRNA from 1 species